GAACUCUGGACUUACGGGUAGGGCUACACACGUGCUACAAUGGCCGGUACAAAGGGUUGCGAAACCGCGAGGUGAAGCCAAUCCCAGAAAGCCGGCCUCAGUCCGGAUUGGAGUCUGCAACUCGACUCCAUGAAGUCGGAAUCGCUAGUAAUCGUGAAUCAGAAUGGCACGGUGAAUACGUUCCCGGGCCUUGUACACACCGCCCGUCACACCAUGGGAGUGGACUGCACCAGAAGUGGUUAGCUUAACCUUCGGGAGAGAGAUCACCACGGUGUGGUUCAUGACUGGGGAGAAGUCAUAACAGGGUACCCGUGGGGGAACCUGCUGUGGAUCCUCUUAUAA
rnacentral:rRNA from 1 species